CUUCUUUAAGUUGCCUCAGGAAGAACAGUCUCUGCUGGGCCUUCUUCCGUACAGUGUCUAUGUGUGAAGACCAUCUCAGGUCCUCAGAGAUGGUGGUUCCUAAGAAUGUUAUUGCUUUGGCAAAGCGCAUCAAAAGACAUAAACUAGUUCACAUAUUGGCGAUAUUAACCCAUGAAAACUGGGAAAUUUGGAAAAGGAUUGUGCAUAAUUGUUAUUUCUUGUUUUUUGUGCUACCAAACCUAAACCAUUUUCCUUUCUGUAUUUUCCAUGUGUGUAUUUCUUCUUUACAGACUGGCUUGGCCUAAAACUAGUUUGUGAACCAGGAGUUUAUAUUAACAAAAUGUACAGGUUUUCCUGUAAAUGUUGGCUUUUGGCAGUAGUUUUUCCUUUAACUUUAUUGCUUACAUCUACAUUUUCUUACUUAAAUAAGUCAAACUGUUUUUUUAACCUAAAUUCAUUUUCAACUAAAUAAGAUAAACAUUCUAUGUCUGAGUCAGUGAUUACUUUAAAAUUGUACCAAAAACUUUACCUGAAAAUAUCAGAUGAAAUUAAUUUGGCAUAAUGGUUACCAGUGCAUUUUAGAAAUUAAUAAUACUUUUAAUCUGCUUUUAUUGCUUUUUAAAAGCAAUAAAACCCAUUUAACUGAUGUCCUUUUACCUCACAGGCCCUGCAGGCUCCUCAUGUCUUCUGAGAAAGGUUAUAUGUUGUACUUCCUAAAAUGGUAAAACUAAAAACUAGAUGUGAGACAAGACUUUUGAGGCAAAGUUGAUUAUUUAAAACGUAUAAUUUUUGUCUGGCUGACUUAUUUUAAUCCUUUUUUUUUUAUUUACUUUCCAUUUUUAUUUAGACUUCAAAGAAAUUGGUGCCAGCCAGGAAACGCCUGAAUGGUGCAACUCAAUCAAAACGUUUUAGAAAACAGCUGCGGAUUGUUUGGAGCUUUCAGCUGAAAUUUAAUCAUUAUCAAACACACAACUGAAUCAGUGUAAGCUGCAGUAUAAAGGCAACAACAAUGUGGCUUUUCUAUUGAACACAAUAUUUUUAUUUUCAUUGGCACUCUUGUCAAUCCAAACUACUCGACACCUAAACGUCAGUGUCAGUUUAUAACUUCCUUUUUAUGGUGGAAAAAAUAAUAGGCAUAUACAGGAAUGUGUGGGAACUGGUUUUCGGGUCAUGACGUGGAAAUCAAUUAUGUAGUCGUGUCAAGGCUCUUAUUUAAGAGGGGGGAAACUAUAUUCGUCCCAUUUAAGACCAUCUCUUCUGGUUUCGAAGGAGAACAUGGAUCACUGAGCUAACCGGCCGUUACCUGACUGGGUUUUGAUGAACAACAACCACGACGCCGCUUUCAGAGUCUGAACGCUCCGCUGCUGGACUCUACCGUGGGCUUCCUUCCGUGACAGUUUCACGGACUGUCACAGGCUGCGUGAAGCUCUCAGAGGAGACAAUUAAAAAACACCGACGUUAAAAACCGAUGGCCAUGUUCCUGUUUGCAUACGUUGGCAGAGCAAUGCAUGACGGGAGAACACUUCUUCUUUAAGUUUAAUGUGCUAACCAGCUAUUAGAUGCACUAUGGACACCUGCUGGGCUAAAAGUGUUACUGCUAAACUACUGCAACACUACUUCUCUGGGACGGCGAUUCUUAAGUAUUUUACAGUUGAAACUAUUUAGCCUAUUUCUAUAAAUUGCCUGUUAAAAAAUCCCACAGUCUGACAAGAACAGGCACACCUCUAUUUAACAUCGUUGUAUUUUAAAGCAACAACUUUCAAAUAAAUAAACUUCCAAU